UCUCUCUCUCUCUCUCUCUCUCCGUAUAUAUACAUAUACAAUAAUAAUAUAUAUAAGAGAGAGAGAGAGAGAGAGACA